rnacentral:rRNA from 1 species
CCUACGGGGAGCAGCAGUGGGGAAUAUUGGGCAAUGGAGGAAACUCUGACCCAGCAACGCCGCGUGAAUGAUGAAGGUCUUCGGAUUGUAAAGGUCUUUUUUAAGGGAAGAAGAAAGUGACGGUACCUUAGGAAUAAGCCUCGGCUAACUACGCGCCAGCAGCCGCGGUAAUACGUAGGAGGCAAUCGUUAUCCGGAAGUACUGGGCGUAAAGGGUGCGUAGGUGGUUUGACAAGUUGGUAGCGUAACUCCGGGGCUCAACCUCGGAACUACUACCCAAACUGUCGGACUUGAGUGCAGGAGUGGCAAAUGGAAUUCCUAGUGUAGCGGUGAAAUGCGUAGAUAUUAGGAGGAACACCAGUGGCGAAGGCGAUUUGCUGGACUGUAACUGACACUGAGGCACGAAAGCGUGGGGAGCAAACAGGAUUAGAUACCCUUGUAGUC